AAAGCAAAGACGGUGGGAAAGGACCAACUUGUUACAACAAUGAAGAAUACGAUUGAAGAACGUUGAAGAGCAGAAGAGAGUCUGCAAUAUCCGUGAAUAGUGAAUCAAUUCUUUAACUGUUAAUGCCCUGGAAAAUGACGGAGAAGGUGAGCCCCUUGGCCUCGUAGGAUGGAGAAAAAGAAAGAAAUUAAGUCAUUCGUGGAUGAGUCGUAGAAGAGAAUAAUCAUUGAAUGUUGAGCGCGAGAACAAAAAAUUUGAGAUCGAGGGCCAAACCCACCCUAACCCCACCCCCACCCACUCCCUAUGGGCUUUGGGGACUGGGGGCUUCCAAAAACCCUGAAUGGGCCAUAAAUUAGGGGCCCCUUCUAAAUGAG
rnacentral:lncRNA from 1 species